UUCAUGCUCACACUUACUCAAUGUACAAAAAAAGCAAACAUCAUGCUACACGCUAAUCUUUAAUUUAUCCAAAGCGAUGUUUUGAAACUUCAGUUCAAGGAGCAAAACGUCCUUCCUUCGAAGGUGUGUGAAGGACGAGAGCAAUUUAAUAGCAAUUUUAACUUACCUAAAAAAUGUUUUAUUUUUUCAAUACGAAGAUUAAAUUUCGGAAAACGACAGAAAUUAUUUUUCAAAUGGACUUUUUAUUAUGAUAAAGCAGUAAUAAAACAGAAUAAUAUUUGUCAUAUUAGUUUAAUGAACGAUAUGCACAACACAUGUAAAGGUUAAUAUUAAAACAAUUGGUUCGCGGUUAAAUGGCUUACUGAAAAAUAAAAACAGGAUUAAAAUACCUUCAUAGUUUAUGUGGCUAAAGUUGACAAAAACAGUACAUUCAGUACAACGAGGGCACAUAGACAAUGUGCACAUGGAAUACACCAACAAAAAUACAGAAAUAGUACAACGAGUGCAGCGACAUACAUGUGAUAAACAUGCAACAAACACAACAACUCAUUUAUUCAAAAAGAGGACAUGGUCAAAAAGUAACUAACGCGGACAUAAUCAUUGAAACAUCUACAAAUAAAAUAUUGUUCAAAUCUUAAAGAAUAUUUAUCUUCAGUGUACACCUUAUUUUAUGUCCAACCACAAGAAGUCGAAGCCAACAACAGCUCUGCAUUUCCCAAUUAAAAAGAACAAGAAUACAGCAGGAAAGACAGACAUAUAGCUACACUCAUACAACACAUCAACUUAUACUAAUACUGAGAUAAAAAAAAAACGUUCGGCAAUAA